ACUGUUUCGUUCCACGUGACAUUGGCGAAAUGAUAUGUGUCAAACUGACACAACUAAAAGUCAUUAUGCAAAGAACUGAACUAUUUUAUUUAUAAUUUCCUUUUGAGA